CGGACGGGUGAGGAAUACAUCGGAAUCUACUCUGUCGUGGGGAUAACGUAGGGAAACUUACGCUAAUACCGCAUACGACCUACGGGUGAAAGCAGGGGAUCUUCGGACCUUGCGCGAUUGAAUGAGCCGAUGUCGGAUUAGCUAGUUGGCGGGGUAAAGGCCCACCAAGGCGACGAUCCGUAGCUGGUCUGAGAGGAUGAUCAGCCACACUGGAACUGAGACACGGUCCAGACUCCUACGGGAGGCAGCAGGC
rnacentral:rRNA from 1 species